UUGGAGGGCAAGUCUGGUGCCAGCAGCCGCGGUAAUUCCAGCUCCAAUAGCGUAUAUUAAAGUUGUUGCAGUUAAAAAGCUCGUAGUUGAAUUUCGGGGUUAGCAGGUCGGUCGUGCCAAUGGUAUGCACUGGCUCGCUGACUCCUCCUUCUUGUAGAACCGUAAUGCCAUUAAUUUGGUGUUGCGGGGAAACAGGACUGUUACUUUGAAAAAAUUAGAGUGUUUAAAGCAGGCUAGCGCCUGAAUACAUUAGCAUGGAAUAAUGAAAUAGGACGUUCGAACCUAUUUUGUUGGUUUCUAGGAUUGACGUAAUGAUUAAUAGGGAUAGUUGGGGGCAUUAGUAUUCAAUUGUCAGAGGUGAAAUUCUUGGAUUUAUUGAAGACUGACUACUGCGAAAGCAUUUGCCAAGGAUGUUUUCAUUAAUCAAGAACGAAAGUUAGGGGAUCGAAGACGAUCAGAUACCGUCGUAGUCUUAACCAUAAACUAUGCCGACUAGGGAUCGGAUGAUGUUAAUUUUUUAAUGACUCAUUCGGGGCCUUACGGGAAAC
rnacentral:rRNA from 1 species